UCAAAAUGCCAAAUCUCUAAUGAUGUGGGGUGGGGGUACAUUUACUCAAAUCAUGGCAAUGCCUAAUUUGUGAGAUCAUUUUUCAGGUCUAUGAGUUUGUUUUUGUAGCGUCUACAGUCCUUGAUCUUUUUUACUUUGUCUCAAGGACCAAGAUCGAGAAUAAAGAAAAUGAUGAGGUGAUUGAGUCAGACCUCCACAGAAUCACCAAGUAUGAGGAAAAAACAUUGGAGGCUCAAACUGAAAGCUAACAUCGAGAAGGGCAUUGCUUUUGCUGCAAAGGACUAACAACCAUGCCAAAUGAUUCGACCUCCACAUAAUCUCUUUU